GGAAGGGCACUGGCUCAAUGACAGGGCAUCUGCUUUAAAGGCAGAAUGACCCUGGUUCAAUUGCUGGCAUUUCCA